GCCGCCGCCUCCCGCCCGUAGCUGAGGAGCCGCCGGAGGCGACUCGGACGCCCCGCCCCCGGCCCCGCCCCGCGGCGCGCGGCCGGGCUCCCUCGGCCCUGGCAGGAGGAGUCGGGAGCUUAGUGGGGCAGCGACGUCCGAAAGUCUCGGGGGGCUCGGUCACAGUAACAUUUAUAGCGAUAAGCAAAAAAAGUGGGAGGCCCUGGCCGGCGGGUUUCUCAGCUGGAAGGCCGGGCUUCCCGCGCGCGCCCGGGCGCCACAGGCUCUGAGGCGAUGCUGCCAGCCGCGGCGCGGGGAGGAAGAAGCUGCCGGAGAACCCCGGUCUGCCCGAGUCGUCCUCACCGCGGAGGGGGACGGGCCACCUCGUCCCGAACCGCUUCCCACACCGUGCCCGGGCGUUCUGUGGCUCUGUGACGUUGCCGAGAGACACUCGGCCGUGGCACCUCGUGAGGGGUGCACCCCGCGGAGCUGCCCCAAGAAUGGCCUCCCCGCUGGCUCUCGCGGAGGAUGUAGCCAGGACUCGCGCACCUAUGGCGAUUUCAUUCUAAAGAUGCCGGGACGAGCUACCUGGAGCGCAGUCUGAGUUUUCCCCGGGUUCCUUUGAACGCGUCCAUGAAAUCACUACCCAUGUUUUGCCGACGUUCCUGUCACCCGGAGACCCCACCCACCCACCCAACUUUGUCCCGGACGCCCCGAUUCUCAGUCUCCAGGAAGUCAACACUUGGUUGUGUGUUGAUGCCCGAAUGCUGUCGGCGGCGCUGCAGCUCCUCGGCUCGGCGGGCGCGUCGCGGCGGGGCCCGGGGCAGCCGGCGGUGCCCUGCGGCAGGUGGGGCUGCGGCGGCGUGCGGGGCCGGGACUGCGGCGCCGCCGCGGAGAGAAGGUGCAUUCUCUGGGAAAAAAGCAACGAAGGGCUGACUCCGUUUUACUAGCAAACCAACGUUAUGAAUGAAGACAGGGAGCACACAUCGUAUUGUCUGAGAUGAAGACACUUGUAUUUACUGAUCGUCUUCAAUGCAGUGAGCAUGAGCACACUACUGGUACAUAAAGUACUCCAUAAAUGGGUGCCCUAAUCCAGCGGGACCAAGUCUUCUAUGAGAAGCGGUGGUUUGGACCCACACAGCAGGAAGGCCAUUGCAGAUGUCAGAGGCAAGGAGGGAGGCCUCAGAGGGCAUACACCCUGCCAACACUUGGUCUCAGCCUUUAGGACGGUGAGAAAAGAAAUGUCCGAGCUCUCUGGGACUUUGUUAGGCUGCCUGAGCAGGCUGACUACUACCAGGUCUGUAGGUAAGAAUUAUUUUGCAUGCCUGUGAGGCAUCUACAACUUCCAGAGUUGGAGGACAGUGCCCUCAGAAUCAAAUAAUCCAGCCAGCUUGAGCAGGAUCAGCAGGCUACGGCUUAUGGGUCAAAUCCAGCUUUGAUUCACUGUCCGUUCUGUUUGUUUUGUUUGAAAGGCAGUGCUACAGAGAGAACCAUUGGUUCACUCACCCAAUGCUGUGACAGCCAGGGCUGGGCCAGUUUGAAGCCAGGAGUCCAGAGCUUCUUCUGGGUCUCCCACGUGGGUGCAGGGGCCCAGGGGCUUGAGCCAUCUUAUAGCUGCUUUCCCAGGCACAUUAGCUGGGAGCCGGAUUGGAAAUGGAGCAACUGGGUCUUGAACUGGUGUCCAUAUGGGAUGCUGGUGUGGCAGGCAGAGGUUUAGCCUGUUAUGCCACAACACUGGCCCCCACUGUCCAUUUUUAUAAAUGAAGUUUGAUCAGAGCACAGCUACAUUCAGUCCUUUAUACAUAUUUACUACCUGGACUUUUACCAAACCAAACCAAAACCAAAACAAAAACAGGUAUGGAGCCUUCUGUAGACAAAGCAUCAAUAUUUUCCCACAGUGGAAAUGUCCUUCCAGGCCAUCCAGUCCAGGGGUUCCCAGAGAUCUCUCAGGGUAGACCUGAAGAUUCACUGAGUCACCAAGGAAACCAAAACAUGCUUUCAUCUAAAAAUCCUCAAUGGACCCAGCACAUCUCCCAAAACCCAAAUGGAGCCUGGCCCAUAGCAGGCCUCAGUGCCUACAAUGGCAUUUCCUAGGUGAUCCAAGAAAAUACAGCAAGUCCUUUUGUGUUUUUAUUUCCUGAUCACCAAAAUGGCUAAUAUGAUGCGUUGGUGUGAUGAAGAAAUGUCUUCUAUUUGGCAGACAUCAAUUUCCAUCAUAAAUCAACUUUGACAGAGACCGAUAAACACUCCUGAUCCUCCUUUUACAUUUUCCAUUCCACAUAUCAAAAAGCUUUUUGGGAAAGGAUUGAGGGCUUCCCCCACCAUGUUGAAUGGUAACUGUAGCAGAUUCUACCCAGUAAGACAACCAGAAGCUAAGACCAAUAAUGAUACCGCAGAUGGUAACUAACAUUUAUUCAGGGCCCACUCUUGGCUAAUACGAUGUUAAACUCCCCUCUUACAUUAACCAGCACGGCGGCCCAGUCUGACCCUCGU